rnacentral:tRNA from 1 species
UCCCUGGUGGUCUUGUGGUUAGGACUUAAUGCUCUUACCGCUGUGGCCCGGGUUCAAUUCCUGGUCAGGGAG